AUAAGCUACGGCACCCUGCAGGAAGUCAGUCUAGCCACAGCAAAUCUGUACUUGUUUUUGUGAGAGAGGAUGGGAAGAAUGAAUAUUUGCCCUGUGGCAUCAAUUUCCUGCUUAAUGUUCUCCAAAAGAUGAAGAAACUGGACGUAAAGAAGAUAAAUACAGCUCAAGGCCACCCCAGAAGCUGGUGGAGCCAACAUUUGAGCCCAUAUCUGGCUGGCCCUAAGGUCCAUGCUCCUUUUUUCAAAUUUAGAAAUUAUUAAUUUAGGAUUCAUGAUGGGCUUCAGAAGAUUCAUAAGAGACUAAAAUGGAAUGCAGAGCACAUUAAUGCAAAGGACUGGAAACUAGACCACCAAAGAACAGAAAUAUAACGUGAGCUACAAACGCAAGUCACAAAGUUUAAUUUUAAUCUUCCUAGUAGCCAC